ANACCAACAGGGAUUGCCUCAGUAGCGGCGAGUGAAGCGGCAAAAGCUCAAAUUUGAAAUCUGGUACUUUCGGUAUCCGAGUUGUAAUUUGUAGAGGUAACUUUGAACAUGAGUCUUGCAUAAGUUCCUUGGAAAAGGACGUCAUAGAGGGUGAGAAUCCCGUUUAUGGUAGGACCCCCAGUUUGUGUAAAGUGCCUUCGAAGAGUCGAGUUGUUUGGGAAUGCAGCUCUAAGUGGGUGGUAAAUUCCAUCUAAAGCUAAAUAUUUGCGAGAGACCGAUAGCGAACAAGUACAGUGAUGGAAAGAUGAAAAGAACUUUGAAAAGAGAGUGAAAAAGUACGUGAAAUUGUUGAAAGGGAAGGGCUUUAAAUCAGACAUGGUAUUCAGUGAUCAGCUUCCUUUCGGGGUUGUGCACUCGCUGUUUACCGGGCCAACAUCAGUUUAGAGGGUAGGAUAAUAGUAAAAGAACGUAGCUUGUUUACAAGUGUUAUAGCUUUUAUUGAUACUACCACUCUGGACUGAGGACUGCGCAUUUUAUGCUAGGAUGUUGGCGUAAUGGUUUUAAGCCAC
rnacentral:rRNA from 1 species